GGUUGUGUAGUGUAGCGGUUAUCACUCCGGAUUCUGAAACACUUAGAACCUUCCGGCAACCCCGGUUCGAUUCCGGGCACGACCU